rnacentral:rRNA from 1 species
UACGUAGGGUGCAAGCGUUGUCCGGAAUUAUUGGGCGUAAAGAGCUCGUAGGCGGUCUGUCACGUCGGGAGUGAAAACUCGGGGCUCAACCCCGAGCCUGCUUCCGAUACGGGCAGACUAGAGGUAUGCAGGGGAGAGUGGAAUUCCUGGUGUAGCGGUGAAAUGCGCAGGUAUCAGGAGGAACACCGAUGGCGAAGGCAGGUCUCUGGGCCGCAACUGACGCUGAGGAGCGAAAGCAUGGGGAGCGAACAGG